CCUUGCUUAAAGGGCAGCGGCUGGUGGCACUACGAUGAUAGGCGGCAAUAACUAAGAGAUCAGGUGAUUUGGUCAUCGUUCCUUCUACCCAAGUGCACCGCAUUUACUUGGCUACAGCAGGGCUAAUAGAGCGAACUGCCUGCGUUUUCUGGUCCGGUUUUAAUGACGCUGGAGUGCUCUCCUUCCCGCCACCCCACAGCUUCAGCACUCGCGCACUACCCCUAACUUAUACUCUAAGCUGCCGCAGUUUCUCUCAUACCGCUGGAUGCCUUUUGACAAACGCAGCCAAUUCGCUAUAGAGCGGCAGUAGCGUUGACUUCAAGGUGAAACUGAUCUGGAUGCUCCAAAUGAAUAAAGGUUACCAGGCGAUGAUGAUACUGCAGGAAAAGUGAUGACAACGCGGGAUGGUCGAAAACGAAUGAAGCGCAUUCGGCGUUUAAUAGAACGACAGGAGCGAAGCGGAGCGAGUAAUCCUUUAUUUGGGACGACGUAUUUAUUUGAGCGUAAUUUGAAAGCAGAUGAAGUAUUUAUUUAAAAUUUUUUCUGUCCAACAAAACUCAUCGGGCAUAUGGUUCGAAUGAUCUUUAAUAGCGGAUAAGUGUAUUCGAUAUGCUUUCUAAUUCUAGCUCACAAGCUUGAUCUAAUAAAACGAGAGCUCUGCCCUUCGUGAGUAUAUAUAAGCUACUGUAGAUAGCUACAGCUAAUUAUAUAUUACCUUUGUGAUACUAGGGGGAAAACAGUAAAAUAUUAGCUUGGUAAAACCUUAUCGUUGUUACUUUUAUCGUUUUUCGUUCGUUUAAAUUUUUCACUUCCUAAUGGCCAGGUAUGUGCCGUUUACCAUUUUAAUUAUUUUGUGCGUAUCACUAAGUUUUACACUAUAUCACAAUUUAACGUAACUGUACUGGUACCAAAAUGCGACAACCAAAAUCGAAAUGUACAAUGUAACAUAACAAAUUGAAACCAAGAAAGAAAA